rnacentral:rRNA from 1 species
UGGGGAAUCAUGGUCAAUGGGCGAAAGCCUGAACCUGCGACGCCGCGUGAGUGAUGAAGGUCGUAAGAUCGUAAAACUCUUUUCAGGGAUCUUAAAGCACAACCGUCAACAACGGCUGUGUGUGACUCUCCCUGGAAGAAGCCCCAGCCAACUACGUGCCAGCAGUUGCGGUAAUACGUAGGGGGCGAGCGUUAUUCGGAAUUACUGGGUGUAAAGGGUAUGUAGGCGGCCCUUCAAGUCGCGUGUCAAAGUCCAGUGCUCAACGCUGGGUGUGCACGCGAUACUGACGGGCUUGAGGGCUGGAGAGGUGAGCGGAAUUCCCGGUGUAGUGGUAAAAUACGUAGAGAUCGGGAGGAACACCAGCGGCGCAGGCGGCUCACUGGACAGUUUCUGACGCUAAGGUACGAAAGCGUGGGGAGCAAACA